AUUGGACGCUGGCGGCAGGCUUAACACAUGCAAGUCGAGCGGGGUGAUGGUGCUUGCACUAUCACUUAGCGGCGGACGGGUGAGUAAUGCUUAGGAAUCUGCCUAUUAGUGGGGGACAACAUCUCGAAAGGGAUGCUAAUACCGCAUACGUCCUACGGGAGAAAGCAGGGGAUCACUUGUGACCUUGCGCUAAUAGAUGAGACUAAGUCGGAUUAGCUAGUUGGUGGGGUAAAGGCCUACCAAGGCGACGAUCUGUAGCGGGUCUGAGAGGAUGAUCCGCCACACUGGGACUGAGACACGGCCCAGACUCCUACGGGAGACAGCAGUGGGGAAUAUUGGACAAUGGGGGGAACCCUGAUCCAGCGAUGCCGCGUGAGUGAAGAAGGCCUUCGGGUCGUAAAGCUCUUUAGGCUGGGAAGAAGGUUGGUAGUUUAAGAGACAAUCAGCUUGACGGUACCAGCAGAAUAAGCACCGGCAAACUCUGUGCCAGCCGCCGCAGUAA
rnacentral:rRNA from 1 species